rnacentral:rRNA from 1 species
UACGGGGGGGGGCAAGCGUUGUUCGGAAUUACUGGGCGUAAAGGGCUCGUAGGUGGCCAACUAAGUCAGACGUGAAAUCCCUCGGCUUAACCGGGGAACUGCGUCUGAUACUGGAUGGCUUGAGUUUGGGAGAGGGACGCGGAAUUCCAGGUGUAGCGGUGAAAUGCGUAGAUAUCAGGAGGAACACCGGUGGCGAAGGCGGAUCUCUGGGCCUUACCUGACGCUGAGGCGCGAAAGCUAGGGGAGCAAACAGG